UACAGAGGUCCCAAGCGUUGUUCGGAUUCAUUGGGCGUAAAGGGUGCGUAGGCGGCGCGGUAAGUCGGGUGUGAAUCUCGGAGCUUAACUCCGAAACCUGCAUUCGAUACUGCCGUGCUUGAGGACUGGAGAGGAGACUGGAAUUUACGGUGUAGCGGUGAAAUGCGUAGAUAUCGUAAGGAAGACCAGUGGCGAAGGACGGUCUCUGGACAGUUCCUGACGCUGAGGCACGAAGGCCAGGGAGCAAACGGG
rnacentral:rRNA from 1 species